rnacentral:rRNA from 1 species
AAUGAACGCUGGCGGCGUGCUUAACACAUGCAAGUCGUACGAGAAAGCCGAAUUUCGGUUUGGCGAGUAAAGUGGCGCACGGGUGAGUAACGCGUAGGCAACCUGUCCUUGUGUUGGGGAUAACAGAGCGAAAGUUCUGCUAAUACCGGAUACGAUGCAUGAACGAGAGUUCAUGCAUGAAAGUCGGCCACUCGAAGAAGCCGGCGCGCGAGGAGGGGCUUGCGUCCUAUCAGCUAGUUGGUAGGGUAACGGCCUACCAAGGCGACGACGGGUAGCUGGUCUGAGAGGAUGAUCAGCCACACUGGCACUGGAACACGGGCCAGACUCCUACGGGAGGCAGCAGUGAGGAAUUUUGCGCAAUGGGAGCAAUCCUGACGCAGCAACGCCGCGUGGGUGAUGAAGGCCUUCGGGUCGUAAAGCCCUGUCAGGUGGGAAGAAUGUCCUGAAGAUGAAAAAGCUUUGGGAGUGACGGUACCACCAGAGGAAGCACCGGCUAACUCCGUGCCAGCAGCCGCGGUAAUACGGAGGGUGCGAGCGUUAUUCGGAAUUACUGGGCGUAAAGCGCGUGUAGGCGGGGAUGCAAGUCUGAUGUGAAAGCCCCGGGCUUAACCUGGGAAGUGCAUUGGAAACUGCAUUUCUUGAGUGCUGGAGAGGAAGGGGGAAUUCCCGGUGUAGAGGUGAAAUUCGUAGAGAUCGGGAGGAAUACCAGUGGCGAAGGCGCCCUUCUGGACGGCAACUGACGCUGAGACGCGAAAGCGUGGGGAGCAAACAGGAUUAGAUACCCUGGUAGUCCACGCUGUAAACGAUGAUCACUAGGUGUAGCGGGUACUCAUUCCUGCUGUGCCGCAGCUAACGCGUUAAGUGAUCCGCCUGGGGACUACGGUCGCAAGACUAA